UUUUUUGAAGGCUAACUGCGUGAAAAAUUUAUGAAUUGCGGGAAUUGUGAAAAGCGGGAAUUCUAGCUUUUUUAGUAAUUCUGUUGGCUUUUCCCAACUUUUUUUGUGUUGUUAACACAAAAGUACAAAAAGUACAAAAUAUGGAAAAGUGGCAGAUUUACGAUAGUCACUUAUAAACAAUCCAGAAAAUGUGUUGGCGUAUCGAUUGUUUUCUCGAAAUACGCUAAUGUCAUCACUCGCUUAGUGUUUCCAUUUCAAUUUGAUCAAGUGGGCCAACAUCAGCAACACAAACAAAUUUUGGUGGUAACUGUGGCGGAAAUAGCCAGGUUAACCUAAUUAAAUCCAAAUUAAGGAAUGCAUUCUAAGCAUAAGGUAAAAGAAUCGGAUUGUGACGGAUGGGAAAAUGCUGCGUCGACUAUGAAGUGGAGAUUUUUUUGGAUUUUUAAAUAAUUUUGUUGAGUUUUUUCUCCAUUCAUUCCUUCAAACACAGCUGUUUUUGCUGGUCAAAAGUUGGCAGCACUGCCCGCACACCACAAUAUGUUAGGCUUACAAACUAUCAGCAGAGCCAACGCAGUCUUUGUGUGGUCGUCAUUUAACUUCAAACUUCUAAGACACAAAAUUAACGUGCGCCUGCAGAACGGGAGGUGGCGAUUGGCCAUUGUUAAGUGCUUACCUCGCUGAUCACUACAUGGGUACUUACAAAAGUGACCCCAUAGUACACGAACGCCCACCGCUUACAAAAACAAUUGUCCCGAAAGAACCGUUUAUUUUAUUUUGUGUUGCUCUUUUGCCCAAACGAAAUUUUUACAAGCAUUUCAGUUGAGAAGUGCAAAGCGGAGCAAUCGCAAUUUUAUUAGAUUCAAUAAGUGUGGACCAAUUGAGAAAGGCCCUGCAGCUCCCAAAAAAAAAA